rnacentral:lncRNA from 12 species
UCACCUGUCCCGCCUUCCCCUUUCACCCCGAGGAACUCGUGCCUCUCUCCCCCUGCUCCGUGACUCUCCUCCUCUCCCCCCACCCCCCGGGCUGUCCCCUGACCCCUUUGUCCCCCGGUGUCCCCGCAGGUGUCCCCUGUGAGCUGGCAGACGCCCCCUGUCCCUGCCGGGACUCCGGCUCCUCCCACGACUACGCCGAGCUCCAGAGCUUCCAGAGCGACUUCAGCUACGACAACCUGUGGGAGGCGGAGGAGAAGGAGCUGGGGUCCCCCUGCAGCCCCCCGGCCCCUGCCCGGGGUCACUGCCAGGUGUUCCAGGUCUAGGGGCUGCUCCAGGCACGGAAAACGCCGGGUUUUCUCUCAUUGGGAUCGGGGAUGCCGAGGGAAGAGCCCUGAGCUGCUCCAGGCACAGAAAACGCCGGGUUUUCUCUCAUUGGCCCGGUGGGUGGGAGAAUCCUCCCGAAAAUGCGGCUCCAAAUGG